rnacentral:rRNA from 1 species
UACGUAGGUGGCGAGCGUUAUUCGGAUUUACUGGGCGUAAAGGGUCCGUAGGGGGAUCGAUAAGUUUGGUGUGAAAUCCCGAGGCUCAACCUCGGAACUGCACUGAAAACUGUUGGUCUAGAGUAUGGUAGAGGUAAGUGGAAUUUGUGGUGUAGCGGUGGAAUGCGUAGAUAUCACAAGGAACACCAAAGGCGAAAGCAGCUUACUGGGCCAUUACUGACCCUGAGGGACGAAAGCUAAGGUAGCGAAAAGG